AUAAGCAUAUCAAUAAGCGGAGGAAAAGAACCAACAGGGAUUGCCCUAGUAACGGCGAGUGAAGCGGCAAUAGCUCAAAUUUGAAAGCUGGCCUUCUGGUCCGCAUUGUAAUUUGCAGAGGAUGCUUUGGGGCAGCCGCCUGUCUAAGUUCCUUGGAACAGGACGUCAUAGAGGGUGAGAAUCCCGUAUGUGACAGGACAUGGCACCCUAUGUAAAGCUCCUUCGACGAGUCGAGUUGUUUGGGAAUGCAGCUCUAAAUGGGAGGUAAAUUUCUUCUAAAGCUAAAUACCGGCGAGAGACCGAUAGCGCACAAGUAGAGUGAUCGAAAGAUGAAAAGCACUUUGGAAAGAGAGUUAAAAAGCACGUGAAAUUGUUGAAAGGGAAGCGCUUGCAAUCAGACUUGUUCUGACUGUUCGGCCGGUCUUCUGACCGGUUUAUUCAGUCUGGGCAGGCCAGCAUCAGUUUCGGCGGUCGGAUAAAGGCCUUGGGAAUGUGGCUCUGCCUUCGGGGAGAGUGUUAUAGCCCAGGGUGUAAUACGGCCAGCCGGGACUGAGGUCCGCGCUUCGGCUAGGAUGCUGGCGUAAUGGUUGUAAGCGACCCGUCUUGAAACACGGACCAAGGAGUCUAACAUCUAUGCGAGUGUUCGGGUGUCAAACCCCUACGCGUAAUUAAAGUGAACGGAGGUGGGAACCGCAAGGUGCACCAUCGACCGAUCCUGAUGUCUUCGGAUGGAUUUGAGUAAGAGCAUAGCUGUUGGGACCCGAAAGAUGGUGAACUAUGCCUGAAUAGGGUGAAGCCAGAGGAAACUCUGGUGGAGGCUCGCAGCGGUUCUGACGUGCAAAUCGAUCGUCAAAUUUGGGUAUAGGGGCGAAAGACUAAUCGAACCAUCUAGUAGCUGGUUCCUGCCGAAGUU
rnacentral:rRNA from 1 species